GAUGAACGCUGGCGGCGUGCUUAACACAUGCAAGUCGAACGAUGAACGAGGGAGCUUGCACUAUCACUUAGCGGCGGACGGGUGAGUAAUGCUUAGGAAUCUGCCUAUUAGUGGGGGACAACAUCUCGAAAGGGAUGCUAAUACCGCAUACGUCCUACGGGAGAAAGCAGGGGAUCACUUGUGACCUUGCGCUAAUAGAUGAGCCUAAGUCGGAUUAGCUAGUUGGUGGGGUAAAGGCCUACCAAGGCGACGAUCUGUAGCGGGUCUGAGAGGAUGAUCCGCCACACUGGGACUGAGACACGGCCCAGACUCCUACGGGAGGCAGCAGUGGGGAAUAUUGGACAAUGGGGGGAACCCUGAUCCAGCCAUGCCGCGUGUGUGAAGAAGGCCUUAUGGUUGUAAAGCACUUUAAGCGAGGAGGAGACUCUUUUGGUUAAUACCCAAGAUGAGUGGACGUUACUCGCAGAAUAAGCACCGGCUAACUCUGUGCCAGCAGCCGCCGUAACAC
rnacentral:rRNA from 1 species